CUAAGGCUCCAGAGGAAGCCACGGCUAACUCUGUGCCAGCAGCCGCGGUAAUACAGAGGCGGCAAGCGUUGUUCGGAAUUAUUGGGCGUAAAGAGCACGUAGGCGGCCUUGCAAGUCAGUUGUGAAAGCCUUCCGCUUAACGGAAGAAUGCCAGCUGAUACUACGGGGCUUGAGUACGGGAGGGGAGAGUGGAAUUUCUGGUGGAGCGGUGAAAUGCGUAGAUAUCAGAAGGAACGCCGGCGGCGAAAGCGACUCUCUGGCCCGAAACUGACGCUGAGUGUGCGAAAGCUAGGGGAGCAAACGGGAUUAGAUACCCCGGUAGUCCUAGCCGUAAA
rnacentral:rRNA from 1 species